rnacentral:rRNA from 1 species
UCUUACCGUGAAAUCCAAACCCAAACCCAACCACGACGGAGAGAGGAGAUGGAUUUACAGGUACUUUGUGCGUAAGUGCACUGUGACUGUGAGUCCUUUGAUCUCGGCGUCUUUUUACCACGACGCAUUUUCCAAUGCGGCGCGAGAACCGGACUUGAUCCAGUGAAGCAUGAAACCCGAGGAAGACGGAUCCACUAGUGUAUGUAGACAAGCAAAUGCGCGUCUACGACGCAAUAGUGGGUCCGAUUCCAAAUAUUAUUUACCAAUACAUUACAACUUUCAGCAAUGGAUGUCUAGGUUCCCACAACGAUGAAGAACGCAGCGAAAUGCGAUACGUAAUGCGAAUUGCAAGACCUCGUGAAUCAUUAAGAUUUUGAACGCACAUUGCGCUUCCGGGAUUUUUCCCGGGAGCAUGCUUGUCUGAGUGUCAGCGAAACCCCCUCAGCGUUGAGCUCCUGGCAAAUAUAUAUAUUUUUGUCAAGGGUUGGACUGCUGGACUUUGGCGCUGCCAGUUCUGGCUGCUGUUCAAGUGUACGUUCGCAUAUCUGAUGCGACGGAAAAACCGUUGGAUGCAGUAUUCUUCUUUGGAGGUCGUUGGGCUUUUAUCUGGUUCUACUCCACUCAAAUGCGGUUUUCGGUUUCCGUCUCCAGUAGGUAGGAAAAGCUGCAAGGCUUGACUUCACCCUUGGGGAUACUAAAAGGAAACAGUGAACUGCAGGAGCAGGCCAGCGCAAAGUCCUGUAAUCGCGCUUCCUUGGUAAGAAUGCGGCAUCGGCAGACGGAUUGGUGGAAAGCGGUGUGUUUUCUUCGUUCAUCAUCUUUGAAUGAAUGAAAUGUCCAUCGUUUCCACCAGUAUA